rnacentral:lncRNA from 1 species
UCAUAACCACCCGAUAAGAGCUAAACCGAUACCAAUCCGCCCAAUAUCUUAUCGGGUGACUAGCGGAUUAAUACAUUUAAAAGCCGAUAACCGUUAAACCAAACCGUUAAGAAAAAUUAACCGCCUAAUCCGCCCGAUAAGCCGCCUUAGUUUUAAUGCAAAGGCCACAACAUCACCUUCGAACUUACAGCAAAAAGCAGAGCUCCAUCAACCUACCAGACUCAAACCGCUCUGCUCGCCGUCCUAGCCUCUGCUCCUGGGUUAGUUUCCUCCCGUCGUUCUGAAUUUGUUUUAUAUCUUUCUUUCGAUCUUCUUUCAAUGUUCUCAGUUGGACUGUAAACUACGUUGCCUUUUGUCAAUUUUUUAUUGCGCUUUGCUGAGCAUUUGGUUUUUGUGCUUCUUUUUGUUUCUUAGUUUUCACUACUAUCUCCAGCUAUUGACUUCGUCUAUUGUUACCCUUUAGUUCAUCGAUCCUACUGCUUGGUUGAGUUCUAUUCUGAUUUUUUCUUUAUUUCCCAAUUUGUUUCUUUGCAUAUAUGAAUUGUCUAGGCUUAAAUACUUUUUGGUGUUUUUUUCAAUUUUAAACAAGGAGAAAUAUAUUAGCUUCAUAUUCAUGAUUUUGCUCAUCUAUUAUGAUUGUUCCCCUUCUUUGUCUUUACUCAAUAAUAUUGCCAAAUUUGGUUGAAAUUGAUUCAUGAUAUCUUCUCUGCUUCAUUUGAACAAAUGUGAACUUCACCAGAACUCAGGAAACCCCAGAGGGUUAUGGUUGAGUUGGGACGAAGAGUGUACUUAUGAAAGAAUCCAAUCUGGUUUGAUGCUGUAGUCUAGAGUAAGAUGGUAAUUAAGCAAACAGAUACCAACUAACUAGUGCAGAAUUAAACUGUCCUACCAAAAAUCUGAGGCAUGAAAAUUGAUGCUGGAAGGUUAGUUCUCUUGAUUUCUGCACACCUGUUCUUCAUAAUACAUAUAUGAAGUUAUAUGAUAUAUUUUUCUUUCACCUAUAUAAUCUUUUCAUUGCUUAACUACUGAAAUUUUGAAGUGGAUUGUGCACUUGUGAUGUUUGAUGAUAUGCCUUCUAUAUUUAGUGCUACUUAUUUGGAGUUACGUACUUAUAUUUUGUAGCCAAAAUACUUUCUUGGGAUAAAACGGAAUAGAACUAUUGGUUUGGGGAGUGGAGCCACGUACUUCAGUCUGUAAGAUGAGCCUCUCAUUCACAUAUCCCCUUGUUGCUAAAAAGAAAGUAGCUAAGGCCAGUUCAUACCAGAGAAUUUUUUUUGUUAUCUUUCAUUAUUAUCUUAGUUCAACCUUUGAUGGAAACCUCCUCCUGGUAUUUUUAUUAAUGGUAUUGGACAACUGCUGAGGAUACGUUGUUUGAUGUAGUUCUCAUAUGCCAGUGACAAGUAAGUAUUUACCACAAUUAAAUUUUGCUUCUGCAAUUUGUAUUCUUUCUUUCCACCAUCCAGUGACAUUCACUUUUCAUGCCCUCAUUUUCUCAUGUUUCUUCUUACUACAUUAUGUCAUCAAAAUUUAGUUUAUGAAUGGAUGUUUUCUUAAAAUACUGAUCUUAUUUCAAUCAAAAUAAUAUGAAAUAAUAGUAGGAAGGUGGUCAAGAUGUUAAAAUCUCCAUAUAGGAUAUUUUUCAUUAAAAAAAUCUCUAUAUAGGACAUUCAUUUCUACUGGUGGUGCUUCAUUUCGUUUACGUUGUCAAAUUAUAGUUCAAUCAAAGCAUUUUGUGUGAUGGAAUUUACGAAGUCUGUUCUUUUACAUAAAGUAUAUGAUUAGUGACCAAACAGAGAGGAAGUUUUUGAUUUUUAUGUUUACAAUUAGGUGUUGAUAUUUAUUGAUCGGUUCUAAAAGUUAGGGCACUUAGAAAUGAAAGAAAGCGCUUGUGUUAAUCGGGUUUGAAGUCAAUUUGUAUGCCUGAUAAUUAUGCAGUACUCUGCUGGGACAUAAAAUAUCAAUGGUUAAACAUGACAAUGUGAAAGUAAUAAGAAAGUGAUUAUUUGAGAUUUUCAUGUUCCCCUUUUUUUUGUUUGUGAAGUGAGACUCCCAUUUUACCGUACUGUUUAUGUAGCUCCUCGUAAGUUUAUACCAUGAAUCCCAGUUUGUAUCAAGUGCACGUGAUGGCCUUUUAACUUGGAAAUAUGAGGUAGUUCUUGAGCAAGGAACACUCAAAUAAGAAAUAUUAUAUCAAAUUUAGGAGGACUGUCGUAACAACUACUCCAUCUUAUUAGUUGAAAUCAGGUUGUAAUACCUGUCUCUGGUUAUUGUAAUUCGGAAGUAUUAGUGGCACUAUGCCAAUGUAAGGAUUAAGGAUUAAUCCUUUUCCCCAUAAAUUGUAUUGUGAAAAUUCUUUGUAGUCAAAGAAAUAUUAUUCUUAAAAAAGGAGUGCUCAUAUAAUUAUAACAUGGGAAGAAUGGGAACUUCUCUCGUGUACUAAAUACAAGCACAUAGAUAUGUAUAUGUGAUAUGGAUAUAUAUUAUCAUAAUAAGCUUGCACCUAAAAUUUGCCAGAAACUCGAAAGCAUUUGAAUUUAUUCACCGAUCCAUCUGUGGAUCGUGUACUCAUUUAAAUCUUGGUUCUUUCAAAUAUUGCAUUAGUUUAUAAUCAUGGUUUUUUUGGGGGGAAUUUGGGUGACUUUUUUAGAGUAUCAUUAUCCAUGUUAAAAUUUUUUGUUGAUGAUUGUCUUACUCCAGUGAUUCCUCUCUCUAUUUAUCUAGGAGGAGGAUGUCAAGAAUAAAAUAAGCAUGAAAGAGAAAGAAUGAUAAGGAGGGGGAGCUUCCCAAGAACAUUGAAGGUAACAUAUAAUUCACCUGCAAGACCGUCAAGAUGAAGCCUAAACUUUUACUAUUGUGACUGAUUAUAAUGGAAGAAAACUGUCAUUUGUGUAUUGUCGUAAAAAGUGUAUCAUUUGCUGGUCAUACAAUAUUCGGGAGUGGAUAAUUGUUUCAAAUUGUAUCUAACUUAUAUCCAGCGAUAUUGUCUAUAUUUGAUCAAUUUUUACAUGCA